rnacentral:rRNA from 1 species
AUUGAACGCUGGCGGCAGGCCUAACACCUGCAAGUCGACCGAGUGCCGGACGGGUGAGUAAUGUCUGGGAAACUGCCCGAUGGAGGGGGAUAACUACUGGAAACGGUAUCUAAUACCCCCUACCCUCGGCUGUGCCCAGAUGGGAUUAGCUUGUAGGUGCGGUAACGGCUCACCGAGGCGACGAUCCCUAGCUGGUCUGAGAGGAUGACCAGCCACACUGGAACUGAGACACGGUCCAGACUCCUACGGGAGGCAGCAGUGGGGAAUAUUGCACAAUGGGCGCAAGCCUGAUGCAGCCAUGCCGCGUGUAUGAAGAAGGCCUUCGGGUUGUAAAGUACUUUCAGCGGGGAGGCGUUACCCGCAGAAGAAGCACCGGCUAACUCCGUGCCAGCAGCCGCGGUAAUUC